AUGCCAUACAAUUUUUGCAGCUUUUCAUCUUUUUCAGUCAUUUUCAGCAGAAAGCUUCAGCGUUCCGGCAUCCACACAGCAUUUUCGCAGGAAAUGCAAAUUUUUCUAGUUCUGGUUGCUUCCGUACGUUUUUCGGCACUUAACUACUCCCUCAGUUUUCAGCCGAUUUUCUCAGUUCAAACUCUAAACUGUUCUGCUCUUUCUGCUAAUUCCAGCUAUGACUUUUGGUGUUUAUUACUAUUAUACUUUUUAAAAUAUUACACUUUUUUUCCUUUAAUUUGUCCCAUUGAAAUGAAUGGGAAACUUCCACAAUUCUGUGCAAUUAAGUCAGAGUGAGUGCUGGUCCGUUCUGAAUUUUCUCUUUAUGUCUGAACAACUUCUUUCUACUCGCUCAAUCUCCACUCAACCCCCACAAAUUAUACAUCAAAACGUAGGAAUUUUUGCUGGCUUUCAGACAAUGUUACUAUCUUUUUUGUGAGAUUUACUGUUUUUUCGCAAUUUGCCUCGAAGUGACACAAGGUCUGGAUACUCCCCAUUCAAAGUCUAUGGGGAGGUUUUGAAAUUCAGAGCUGAAAUUCUGUAACGGGAGGCAUUUUCAAAUCGCCAUAUCUCUUUAACAAAGCAAAGUUAGGACAUGAGGCUUGUGCCAAUAUAUCUUCAGACACUGCUGACACUCACAGUGGAAGCAGUUUUUACAAUUAUCUUACCGUUGAGCAAUGAAUUAUGUUUGUUUGAGGGGUGGAAAUCUGUCCUCCUCUCAGUCUUCAAACUCCGAAAAUGAAGCCGUUUCUUCUCUCGUCAUAUCUCCGCGAUGGAGGUACAAAGAGCUAUGAAAAUCGCAGUCAAAGUACACCAAAGUCCGCUGAUUCACCCAGUACAAGAAUUAUGCUGCUAGCUCUCCUAGUGUUUGAGUUACACGACGUUUUGUAACUCCAAAAAACGGCGUUUUUCGCCUCUCACCGCGAUCUAAUUGUGACUGGUCAUCAAUCUGUUUUUCAGACCCCCGUCCCCUGUCCAGGUGGCGCAAUCAGUAAUGACACGGCUCUGCAGCUCACAGGUCGUGGGUUCAAUCCCACCUUGGUCCACAUGUUGUUUUUUUUUCACUACAAAUUUAUACACUAUCACAAACCUGUAAUUUAUAUUGCUAAUUUUUUUCACUACAAAUGAGUAGUGCAAAAACAUACUAUGUCUGCAACAUCACAGUAUAUCUGUUAUGUUAUAGUAUUACUACUAAAUCACAGUAUUUCUGCCAAUUCAAGGAGGCUGACUGUUACUAAGUGCAUCAGUGUACAUAGGUCAUCUGUUGUGUUGGAGUGCCCUCUUGUGGCGCCUUUUGGGUAGUGCCUUAGUAAACGUGAACACUGCAAAGAAGUGGUAUCAGACUGGUUUGUAGUGGAGGAAUUUGUUGCCAGUUUCUUUCAUCUUUAAUCCGUAUUCAUGUUGUAAUGUAGUAACUUUUGUGGCACAAAUACCACAAUAUGGCAGAAAUACCAUGUUUUGGCACAAACACUUUGAUUUGGUAUACUUUAGCUUCUUCACCCCUUUUCAGCAAAAUUUUCAUUUUUUUCACCCCUUUUCAGCACAAAUUCCAGCUUUUUUGGCUAUUUUCAGAAAAAAAACUCUUUUCAGCAGAAACUCUGCUGAUUCAUCUCUUUUCAGCGCAAGUUUCUGCUUCUUUGCCUCUUUUCUGCAGAAAUUCUGCUGAUUCACCUCUUUUCAGCCUUUUCACCUCUUAUCAGCACAAUUCUCAGCAGUUUCUGCUCAUUUCACCAUAAUUGUCAGUCUCUCCAUCUCUUACCUUGUGAGAGUUAAUUUGGCACAGUUAGAUGAGUAGCCGCCUUGCGCCCAGGAGGGCCAGGUUCGAAUCCUGCUCAGGGUGACAUUUUUUUUUCACCACCAUGCAACUUUUCAUCUUUUUCAGCUUUUCAGCAGACAGCUUCAGCGUUAAGGCAUCCACACAGCAUUUUCGCAGGAAAUGCAAAUUUUUCUAGUUAACAAUAAACUUUGUGUAUAUGUUCUCCUAAAUUUGAUGAAAGGGAUAAAAAUAGACAGCUCUGUCUCUUUUUAUUCUGACAUUUAACUAAUUCAAAAGAUAUUUCAAUAUUUAUUUAUCCAAAACAAAACAAGUUUACUCUAAAUUGAUGUUGUACAGUAAAAAAAUGUUCUUGUGUUUUCCAUAAAGUGUAUGUAAAUAUCUGGUUUAAAUUGUGAAUAUACUGCUGUGUAUUGAAAUUCCUAUACUGAACAACAUACUAAGCAUAAUAUAUAAAAUAACAUCUACCAGAGUUUUUUCUUUGAAAGAAGCUCCUUAUGUCCAUUCUUGCAUAUCAGUACAUUACUGAAACCGAUUUAUUUAGCCGUGGAGGGUAACAACUGAAAAUAUGAAAUAAACACACAUGUAAGUUAAGACUCUCUAAAGAAACAGCGUUGUUGUUGUUCGGCUUUUCAUUUCGCCAUUUGUUGAUUCACUUGAAGAGCAAGUAACGUAAUAUGGGUCAAGUGAUCAGUUUGAUAUCAAUCUUUCGUGAUACACCGUCAUAUUUACAUUAUUUGUACAGUAUGAAUGAUUUGCUUUGGUACCUGGUCAGACUUCAGUUCUCCUCUGUCUGCCUCGCUCCAUUUCUCCAACAGCGCAGCGGCUCCCCCCGCCCCCUCGCUCAGUCGCUUAGUGCCUGAGCUCGGAUCAUACCAAUAUUAGGGGGGAUUUACGCACAGUCGUAAAUUCCCAAAGUGUGCACUAUGUGCUUCGAAUAUUGUGUGUAGUUUUUUGUUUUAUACAGUUGUCAGCCAGGCAUCUAACUAUGAAAAAAUUACACUCCAAAAGACCCCGGGCUUCUGGAAAAACAACCCGGGCUUAAGCCCAGUAAGCCACCCCCCCGCUCCGCCCCUGGGUGAAACAAAAUGUAGAGAUUUUGUCAGUCACUACAUGUCCAUGAAAGAGACAACUAGAUAAAUAUAAUUUAUUAGGUGGACAUGUUAAACAAAAGCUUGUUUUAAAAAUGUUCAAUUUUACUUUUUAUUGGCAAAGAUAAGUACUGAAAAUGUAACAGGAUUACAAGAAGUGAUUAAAAGAAUAAAAUGUAAAACAAGGUAAAAAACAAAAAACAAAACCAGUUUUUCAAAGUGUCAUGAACACAGCUCAGGCAGGACUGAUCUACCUUCAGUUCUAACAAACCACAGACAACGACUUCUUAUAGAGGGGCUUUUGCAUUGUGCCACUUUAAGUAGCAGCGUUAGACAUUUAGCUUUUCAUUGUUAUGCUAAAAUAUACAUUUUCAUGUCAUGGUCAAAGUGUAUUUGUCUGGUAUAUUAACAAGGAAUACAAUAUGAUGUAAUGUUUUUUAUUCACUGCAGGUAUAACGACACCAUUGCAUCUUGCUGUCCUUCAUAGUCAUUUCUAGUUCUACUUGGAGUAUUUUCAUUUUCAUUUCAUGCUCCUCCUAUAGAUACUUCAACUUGUGCUCAUGAAAUUCAAUAGCCAGCUUUUCAUGGAUUGUGAGCCUUCAGUUCCUGUGACCAGUGCUUACAGACAUCAUAGCCUCUGAG
rnacentral:lncRNA from 1 species